AACGAACGCUGGCGGCAGGCUUAACACAUGCAAGUCGAACGCCCCGCAAGGGGAGUGGCAGACGGGUGAGUAACGCGUGGGAAUCUACCCAUCUCUGCGGAAUAGCUCUGGGAAACUGGAAUUAAUACCGCAUACGCCCUACGGGGGAAAGAUUUAUCGGGGAUGGAUGAGCCCGCGUUGGAUUAGCUAGUUGGUGGGGUAAAGGCCUACCAAGGCGACGAUCCAUAGCUGGUCUGAGAGGAUGAUCAGCCACAUUGGGACUGAGACACGGCCCAAACUCCUACGGGAGGCAGCAGUGGGGAAUAUUGGACAAUGGGCGCAAGCCUGAUCCAGCCAUGCCGCGUGAGUGAUGAAGGCCUUAGGGUUGUAAAGCUCUUUCACCGAUGAAGAUAAUGACGGUAGUCGGAGAAGAAGCCCCGGCUAACUUCGUGCCAGCCGCCGCCGUAA
rnacentral:rRNA from 1 species